GAUGAACGCUGGCGGCGUGCCUAAUACAUGCAAGUCGAGCGAAUGGAUUAAGAGCUUGCUCUUAUGAAGUUAGCGGCGGACGGGUGGGUAACACGUGGGUAACCUGCCCAUAAGACUGGGAUAACUCCGGGAAACCGGGGCUAAUACCGGAUAACAUUUUGAACCGCAUGGUUCGAAAGUGAAAGGCGGCUUCGGCUGUCACUUAUGGAUGGACCCGCGUCGCAUUAGCUAGUUGGUGAGGUAACGGCUCACCAAGGCAACGAUGCGUAGACGACCUGAGAGGGUGAUCGGCCACACUGGGACUGAGACACGGCCCAGACUCCUACGGGAGGCAGCAGUAGGGAAUCUUCCGCAAUGGACGAAAGUCUGACGGAGCAACGCCGCGUGAGUGAUGAAGGCUUUCGGGUCGUAAAACUCUGUUGUUAGGGAAGAACAAGUGCUAGUUGAAUAAGCUGGCACCUUGACGGUACCUAACCAGAAAGCCACGGCUAACUACGUGCCAGCCGCCGCGGUAA
rnacentral:rRNA from 1 species